GACAGAGGGUGCAAACGUUGUUCGGAAUUACUGGGCAUAAAGAGCACGUAGGUGGUGCGCUAAGUUACGUGUGAAAUCCCCCGGCUCAACCGGGGAAUGGCGCGUGAUACUGGCGGACUCGAGGCGGGUAGGGGUGAGCGGAACUCCAGGUGGAGCGGUGAAAUGCGUAGAUAUCUGGAGGAACACCGGUGGCGAAAGCGGCUCACUGGACCUGAUCUGACACUGAGGUGCGAAAGCUAGGGUAGCAAACGGG
rnacentral:rRNA from 1 species